rnacentral:lncRNA from 1 species
CAUGUGCCCCACGCAGAGCAGAGGCAGAUGUGUGCUCGUGUUAAUCUAACCUUCACCUGCAUCUUCGUCAGGAACAGACACGAGCAUUGUGGAGAAGUCGAGAUAGGAUUGGGAACAGCUGGUCAUACCCACAGUCAAGAACAGAGAGAGAAUGAACAUAUGGCUGCCCGGGUGUGCAGGACCCCAGACUUAGGGGAUGGUACCGCCCACAGUAGGAUAGAUUUCUCUUAUAGCAAUGAUCAAUUCAGCCAAACCCUCACUGAGAUUCUUCCCUGGUGAUUCUAGCUUGUUUCGACAACUAAAACUUU